rnacentral:rRNA from 1 species
UACGUAGGUGGCAAGCGUUGUCCGGAUUUAUUGGGUUUAAAGGGUGCGUAGGCGGCUUAAUAAGUCAGUGGUGAAAGCCGAUCGCUUAACGAUCGAACUGCCAUUGAUACUGUCAAUCUUGAGUACAUUUGAUGUGGGCGGAAUGUGUCAUGUAGCGGUGAAAUGCUUAGAUAUGUCACAGAACACCGAUUGCGAAAGGCAGCUUACUAUGGUGUCAUUGACGCUGAGGCACGAAAGCGUGGGGAGUCAAACAGGAAUUAGAUUACCCCGG